rnacentral:rRNA from 1 species
UGGGGAAUAUUGCACAAUGGGCGCAAGCCUGAUGCAGCAACGCAGCGUGAACGAUGAAGGUCUUCGGAUCGUAAAGUUCUGUUGCAGGGGAAGAUAAUGACGGUACCCUGUGAGGAAGCCCCGGCUAACUACGUGCCAGCAGCCGCGGUAAUACGUAGGGGGCUAGCGUUAUCCGGAUUUACUGGGCGUAAAGGGUGCGUAGGUGGUCUUUCAAGUCGGUGGUUAAAGGCUACGGCUCAACCGUAGUUAGCCUCCGAAACUGGAAGACUUGAGUGCAGGAGAGGAAAGUGGAAUUCCUAGUGUAGCGGUGAAAUGCGUAGAUAUUAGGAGGAAUACCGGUGGCGAAGGCGACUUUCUGGACUUUUACUGACGCUCAGGUACGAAAGCGUGGGGAGCAAACAGG